UACGAAGGGGGCUAGCGUUGUUCGGAAUUACUGGGCGUAAAGCGCGCGCAGGCGGCUAUCCAAGUCAGUGGUGAAAGCCCGGAGCUCAACUCCGGAACUGCCAUUGAAACUGUUUAGCUUGAGGAUGAGAGAGGUGAGUGGAAUUCCCAGUGUAGAGGUGAAAUUCGUAGAUAUUGGGAAGAACACCGGUGGCGAAGGCGGCUCACUGGCUCAUUACUGACGCUGAGGUGCGAAAGCGUGGGGAGCAAACAGG
rnacentral:rRNA from 1 species